rnacentral:rRNA from 1 species
CUUUCUCCGCCGGCGACCGGCGCACGGGUGAGUAACACGUAUGCAACCUGCCCCUGUCAGGGGGACAACCCGCCGAAAGGCGGGCUAAACCCGCGUACAUGCCACCGGGGCAUCCCGGAGGCAGGAAAAGGCUUCGGCCGGACAGGGAUGGGCAUGCGGCGCAUUAGGCAGUAGGCGGGGUAACGGCCCACCUAACCGACGAUGCGUAGGGGUUCUGAGAGGAAGGUCCCCCACACUGGUACUGAGACACGGACCAGACUCCUACGGAAGGCAGCAG